UGGGGAAUAGCUCAAUGGUAGAGUGCAUGCUGUGCAUGAGGUCCUGGGUUCAAUCCCCAGUACCUCCA
rnacentral:tRNA from 1 species